rnacentral:rRNA from 1 species
AGAGUUUGAUCCUGGCUCAGGAUGAACGCUGGCGGUAUGCCUAACACAUGCAAGUCGUACGAGAGUUUUUAACUCUAGUGGCGGACGGGUGAGUAACACGUAAGAAUUUACCUUCAGGAGGGGGAUAACGAUUGGAAACAAAUGCUAAUACCCCAUAUGCUUUCGAGUGAAAUGGAUUUAUAUUUAUCCGCCUAAAGAGAAGCUUGCGUCUGAUUAGCUUGUUGGUAAGGUAAAAGCUUACCAAGGCGACGAUCAGUAUCUGGUUUGAGAGGACGAUCAGACACACUGGAACUGAGACACGGUCCAGACUCCUACGGGAGGCAGCAGUGGGGAAUUUUCCGCAAUGGGCGAAAGCCUGACGGAGCAAUACCGCGUGAGGGAAGACUGCC